AUACGUAGGAUGCAAGCGUUGUCCGGAUUUACUGGGGUGUAAAGGGUGCGCAGGCGGCUUAGUAAGUCAGAGGUGAAAGCCCGCAGCUCAACUGCGGAAAUGCCUUUGAUACUGCCUAGCUUGAAUAUGAUAGAGGCUCAUGGAAUAUGUGGUGUAGCGGUGAAAUGCGUAGAUAUCACAUAGAACACCAGUGGCGAAGGCGGUGAGCUGGGUCAUUAUUGACGCUCAUGCACGAAAGUGUGGGUAGC
rnacentral:rRNA from 1 species